AUGUUUCUAGCUAGUGUUUACUGAAAUGGAAUACACAAAAUAUUGUGCGAAAUGCAAACAUCAUUUGUAUCUGAGGCACGUCGUUUUUUCUUCUGCCACCUCCUAAGAGAUGCCAUGGAAAAAAUCGAUCCCUGCGGACUGGCCGCAGUCCGCCGCUUCGGUAGGACACGCGUAACCACAACGGUAUUACACUGGCAGUCCGCGCACCCGUCUGCCCACGUGCACCCGUCUGCCCACGUGCACACGCCUGGCAGGGCGCCCGUGGCGGACCGUGGCAUAGACGGGCGCCGCUGGUCACGUUGAUCUCCUCAUGGUCCCCACGCCUCUGCGCAGCCGGGCUGCCGGAGCUGCGCCACCCGUUCAUGCUCGCGCGGCCGCAGCUUCCGAAUAACGUGCCUGCGCGUGGAUCGCGUCAGCUGCCAGUCCGAAGCGGAGCAGCCAAUGGGGCGCGCGGAAGCGGCGCGGGAUGUCACGGGUUAGCCAAGCCGGUGUGAUGACUGCAAAUGUUCAGAUAGCCGCUGCAGGCCUGGCACCGGUAGUGUACUCGAGAGUCACAGUUCCCUGCUGUCGUUUCACAUCACAGACACACCAAGAGGUUUCAUUCCGGUGUCAGCAGACACCAGGGGAUUUCAGAGGGGGUUCUGAGGUAACACCGCCUGCGUGUCUGGCUUUUUAAAUGCUGUUCCUUCCUUCCUCAAGCUUUGAAGCCAAGGGUGACAGGUGACCCAAGUCAAGCAGUUUAUGCACGACAUCAGACAGUCACCCUGAGGCUGUAAUACAGUGCUGGUCCAUCUACUGGUCCCGUCCUAUUCCAUAUAAGCGAUGAAGCUCCCUUCUGCUCUGCAUUGCAUCCAUCCUUCUGUAGCACAAUGAACCAUUUAUGAAAACAUAAAGAACAAGCCGCCCUAGAUUUACAAAACUGUGAGAAAUAUAUUAUUUUCUUCUCAUCUUAAUAAUGGGCAGCUUUUACGUUUCCUUGGAAGCUAAAAUUGCUCAUGGUGAGGGCCUCCAUCCCCGACUGGGCCGGGUUUUACAGACACCUGAAGCAGUAAUCCAUGGGCAGGUUUUUUUGUCUUUUUUUGUAACAGAAGAACCUGCUUCAUAUGAAUUUCUCUAUAGCUUGGGCUCAUGGACCAGGUGAGAGGUCAGUCAUUCAGUUUAAUUUUGACUAAUCACACCCACCAGUCUCCAAGCCUCCCAUAAAGUCACUGGAAAUUCCUACACUUCAAUGGUUUACACUCAUCUGGUGUUGUAGUCUAGACAGUUGCACUUGUCUGUUUACUUCUUGGAGUACUGUGUGCGAAGUCCUAUGAAAUGCAUCCCGUUUUAUACUUGGCAACAAUAAAUUCAUUGCCAGUAAAUUCAUUGGUCUGGUGUUCUGCAUCCUUCGUGCUCGAGCCUGCCACCCAGUGGCACUCCAACUGACCACUACCUAUCAUUUUGCUGGUUUUGAGCCCAUAAGAUGGCUCCAUGUAGCCAUUUCAGGCUGAGCGCAGCUGCGUUACACAGAUAGCCUGGCCAACAGACACAUGCCUGCAAACACUACCUCCAGGGUUUUGCCCUCACAUCCUUUCUUUCUGAGCAGCGUACGCUUUUUCUUCUUGGUACUAUUCAUUUGGGUUUUUUUUUUG